CGUGUAGGCGGCCGAUCAAGUCGGAUGUGAAAUCCCUCGGCUCAACCGAGGAACUGCACUCGAUACUGGUCAGCUAGAGUGCGGGAGGGGUGAGUGGAACUCCAGGUGUAGCGGUGAAAUGCGUAGAUAUCUGGAGGAACGCCGGUGGCGAAAGCGACUCACUGGCCCGCAACUGACGCUGAGGCGCGAAAGCUAGGGGAGCGAACG
rnacentral:rRNA from 1 species